ACGCGAAUGACGCGAUGACCGCUCUCAGGUUCCUCUCUGGUUGUAGAAGAGAGAGGAGAAAAAGCACGAAAUGCAAUUAGAAAAACAAGUGUUAUUUUUAUUCAUUAUCAACCUACACUACACUAUACCUUUUUAAAAUGAGAUGCAUAUGCGUUAGAUGCCGGAGAGAAAAGGAAAAAGGUAGUUGAAGAAACGAAAAUAUAAAGUCGAAAGGUUAGGUUAGGUUGUCGCAAAAAUUUACAACCUUGGAAUAUUGAUAGAAGGUAUUUUCUGUAUGAUUUUUAUUUAUGAGAAAUACAAGUCUGCCGUACCCAUCCGGUAGCGAUGCCGCGAACUGCUUGCAAGUUUUCAAAACCAUUUCAGGUGAAUGCUUUUCACAAUACUCAUUAUAUUUUCAAAUUUAUUGCAUGUAAUAGAUUUUAGAAACAUUUCAGUUGUAAUAUUUCAUAUUACAUAUUGCACAAUCUUUUUAAAACUGAUGUAAAUGAGUUGUAAUGACACAUGAAAUGUGAAAGAUUGAAAUGGUUAUAAAACCUUUCUGAGAAAUCAUACUGUAUAAUACUUAUAUGGAUAUAUAAAAUAUAUCCAUACAUAUUUUCUUUCUUUUGUAUAAUCUCUGUCUAUAUGACAGAAAAAAUUACAAUAAAAAGAAAAAUUGGAAAUAUAAUAAAAAAUAAUUAGGUAAACUUUUGCACUGUUUUUCUUUACAGAAAGUAAAAUUGUGAUAUAUUAUACAAUAUUCUCUAUAUAUAAUUAUAUAUAUUAUAUAUAGAAUUUUAUAUACUAUUAUAUACAUAUAAUUUGUAUAGGAAUAAUCUUUUUUCAUUUCUUCAAAACUUUACUUUCAAACAAAGCAAUACAAAAAUUAUUUUUCUAUGGUUAUUUUUUUCAAUUCUUAUUUUUUUCUAUAUACAUAUACGAAAAAUACACAAGAGAAAGAAAACAUAUAUGGGUUUAUUUUAUAUGGACCAUUUUCCCCCCAAGUAAAUCAAAAUAUCCAUUGUUUCAAUUUUCUAUACGCAUUAAAGAACUAUGCAAGAAAAAA